GAUGAACGCUAGCGGCAGGCCUAAUACAUGCAAGUCGAACGGGAUUAAGAGGCUUGCUUCUUAUGAGAGUGGCGCACGGGUGCGUAACACGUAUGCAACCUACCUUCAACUGGGGGAUAGCCUUCCGAAAGGGAGAUUAAUACCGCAUAAAAUAAUUGAGUGGCAUCACUUGAUUAUCAAACGUCAGGGUUGAAGAUGGGCAUGCGUCCGAUUAGUUUGUUGGUGAGGUAACGGCUCACCAAGACUACGAUCGGUAGGGGAUCUGAGAGGAUGGCCCCCCACACUGGUACUGAGACACGGACCAGACUCCUACGGGCGGCAGCAGUAAGGAAUAUUGGUCAAUGGACGGAAGUCUGAACCAGCCAUGCCGCGUGCAGGAAGACGGUCCUCUGGACUGUAAACUGCUUUUGUUAGGGAAGAAACUUCCGUACGUGUACGGGACUGACGGUACCUAAAGAAUAAGGAUCGGCUAACUCCGUGCCAGCCGCCGCAGUAAGAC
rnacentral:rRNA from 1 species